rnacentral:misc_RNA from 1 species
CAAAUCAAUAGCCAACUAAUUUAACAGACAACAUGGUAAAUGAUAAUAUCUCCAGGGGCAACUUCGUGGUUGACAAAACAGGAUCAUGUCCAAUAUCCAACUCUAGAAUGCUAUCUACUUGGAAAGAGAGUUUGUUGGAUAAUUAUUACAAUAAAUCUUAAUUGGCCUUUCAAAGCUAUGCAUAAUCUUUAAAUAUUCAUAAAAAAAAACUUAUGAAUGGCCGCUUACUUGGAAGUCUCACAACAAGCAAGUAACUUACGUCCAUAGUUCAGCGCUCUACAGAAAACCUGCAGCCUGAUCAUUCAGAUUCAGAAGAUGAUAUCAUCAUCCUUCUCAGCCCCUGCAACAAGUAUGUUGUGAGCGGCAUUCAUGGAGAUCCCCUUCUGCAGCGAUAUCUUCUCCGCAAUCUGAUCCUCAGCAAACUCCCUCGCAGAAAUCAUCUGCCGCUCCAUCUCACGCUUCUUGUACCCCUGGAUCUUCUUCAGACGGAAGAAGUCCUCACGCUCGAGCUCAUCGAGCUCGCCCUUAAUGUAGCUAAUAGUGUUCUCAAUCCUCGGCUUAACAACAUUCUCAAGAGCAUUAACACGGCGAUUGGUGGUCUUGAUCGCAUCAUCGAGGGUAAGGAACGAAGUCUGGAGGGAAGCAAGCUCAACCAGGACCUCAAUAGCCUUGAUGUGGGCGGCGCGGCAGGCAUGGACCUGCUGGCCGCCGCGGGCGAGGCCGGUGAGGUCGGCCUUCGAAUCGGAUGCUGCAGUGUCGGUGAAGUGCUCGAAGCGUGGGAGCUUCACGCCGGCGACGUUGACGGAGGAUGAGCGGACGCGGACGGAGGCAGAUCGGACGGAUUCGAGGACGGAGUGCUUGAUGUUGUCGCCGGCGGCGUACUUGGCCUCAGUGAGGGCGAAGGACGACGCACGCAUGAUCUCGCCCAUGGCCUCCUUGGUGGAGACGAUGUUCUUGAGGAUUGCGCGGAACUGGACGGUGAGGGCGUCACUCUUCUUCUUGAGAAGAGCGUGGCCGCGGGUGGCGCCGACGAGGCGGGCCUUCAUCACACCCAACGUCGUCACCGUCGGCACCACGUUCAGGCGCUGCGUUUGGCCCGACAUCGUUGCCGAUCAGGCGUCCUCUGUGAUGACGG